GAGUUUGAUCUUGGCUCAGGACGAACGCUGGCGGCGUGCUUAACACAUGCAAGUCGAACGGACCCUGUGGGGCUUGCUCUGCAGGGUUAGUGGCGAACGGGUGCGUAACACGUGAGGAAUCUGUCCUUCGGCGGGGGAUAGCCGGCCCAACGGCCGGGUAAUACCGCGUACGCUCGUUCCGGGGCAUCCCGGGACGCGGAAAGCCGCAAGGCGCCGAUGGAGGAUCUCGCGGCCUAUCAGCUAGUUGGCGGGGUAAUGGCCCACCAAGGCGACGACGGGUAGCUGGUCUGAGAGGAUGGCCAGCCACAUUGGGACUGAGACACGGCCCAGACUCCUACGGGAGGCAGCAGUGGGGAAUCUUGCGCAAUGGGCGAAAGCCUGACGCAGCGACGCCGCG
rnacentral:rRNA from 1 species